GAUGAACGCUGGCGGUCUGCUUAACACAUGCAAGUCGAACGGUAUCCUUCGGGAUUUAGUGGCGGACGGGUGAGUAACGCGUGAGAAUCUGCCUUCAGGUUCGGGACAACAGCUGGAAACGGCUGCUAAUACCGGAUGUGCCGAGAGGUGAAAGCUUUAGUGCCUGAAGAUGUGCUCGCGUCUGAUUAGCUAGUAGGAGUGGUAAUGGCACCACUAGGCGACGAUGAGUAGCUGGUCGGAGAGGAUGAUCAGCCACACUGGGGCUGAGACACGAACCAGACCCCUACGGGAGGCAGCAGCGAGGAAUUGUUCGCAAUGGGCUCAAUACUGACGUAUCAAGAACGAGUGAGGGAAGAAGCUCGGUAGAUAAUAAAACUCUUUUAAUAGGGAAGAAGACAGUGACGGUACCCAUCGAAUCAGCCUCGACUAACUACGUGCCAGCCGCCGCGGUAA
rnacentral:rRNA from 1 species